UUGUCAAAUUACUUGCACCUCUCUGCGUGGAUACCGCAUUUGACUCCUCAAGAGACGCUGCAAACUGAUCUAAAAAGAACGCUUCUUUGAUUCUCAGGAUCAAGUGUUCCCAUUGCAGAGAUGGUACUCACAAUUUGCUCAUCGUUCUUCCUUUGUGGGAUCGGUGGACUCAUGAUCGGAGCUUGGUCUAAACC